rnacentral:tRNA from 1 species
GGGUGAGUGGCUCAGAUGUUAGAUCCUACGGCUCGUAACCGAAAGGUUGCGAGUUCGAACCUUGCAAGAGGCA